CUCGGGUUCCACACACUCGGCCCCUCUGGCCUAGAUCCCUACUGGCUCCUGGGUCCGCCUCACUGGUUUUCAGCCUGACUCUCAAAUGUCUUCUCUGCCUUACUGCCUGGCCUUGGGAAGAGGGCAGGCUGAGGGCUGGAAGUAAGUGAAUUGUCCUGGCUGGCCACACUAGGGCCAAAAUGUAUGGUUUCUUUUUUUUUUUUUUAAUAUUUUUUUAAAUUGAGUUAUAAUUCUCUCGCUUUACUUGCACAAUUCAGUGACUUUGGUAUAUUUAUAGAGUUGUGUAACUAUCACCACAGACAUAGAGAUUUUUGGGAGGGCUACACCCAGCACGUAGGACCUUAAUUCUGCAACCAGAGAUUGAACCGGUACCCCCUAUAUUGGAAGAACUUAGCUUAGUCUUGGCGGUUGGACCACCAGGGAAGUCUUUAUACGGUUUCUUCUUGACACGAAGGCCCACUUUUAGGCAGGAAUGAAGCGGAGGAGGAUCCUGGAGGAGUGGCAGCUGCUGACCUCUCCCAGGCAUGAGCCAGGCAUCUGUCACCUUGUGGGAUGGGGGCUGGGGGCAAGGCACUCUGGGCUAUCCCUGUCUUUGUUUCCUUCCCCUCCAUAGCACAGGCAUGUCUACUCAUGGAGUUCGUCAGGCAGAGGGAGGGCCUUUGCCAGAAGAUGUGAUUCUGUUCCCCUGCACCCUGAAGACAAGGCAGUGCCAACACAUGACGCAACGAUGUGUCCAUCUCCGUGGAUUCCCGAAUCACAGACAGUUUUCUCCCCACAGAGCACCAAGUAUGGACCAGUGUCUCACUAUGUGCAGAUGUAGAGAACCCUGGUGGGUUACAGCGCAUUGACCAGCGCAUUUACAAUGCCGCCACCAUGUGAGCAGCAUGUCAUUAUUCCCGCAAGCUGUCGACGUUGUUGAACACCUCAGGCAGGCCGAUCAUUACUGUAUUAGCUGGUGAUUGGAACAACCGAAACAAUCCAACAGGUGUGGUUUAUUCUCUGAAGUCUUCAAAGUUCUGGCAGCUGUGAAACUGAAAUAGAAUCUCUUGGUCUGUUUUCUGGGUAAGGAAGCUAAGAACAUAUGAAAAAAAUUUCAUUGUCUUUAUAGAUUUUUUUCAAUUUUUUAUGCAUAUAUGUGUAUGUGAAUGCCUCUGGCAUUUAAUGGUCAGUAAUUGCUUUGGGCAAAAGCUUAUCAGAGCUCCUUGUGAACUUUCAAGUCGUUCCCUUUGAGUUCUUCAG
rnacentral:lncRNA from 1 species